rnacentral:lncRNA from 1 species
AGGAAUAACCAAAAGGGUGUAAGAGAUGUUAGUAAAAACCCCCUUUGGUGGCCGGCCUUUGUGGUUCAAGAUGGCUAUUUUCUUUUGCCUCUUUUGUUGUUCAAAACUCACAAAAACCCUAAUGAACUUUAUCUCUAUAAAGUUGCUUAUAUAGACAAAAAGAAAACCUAGUCAACACUUGACUAAAUAUCUCACCUUUCCUCACCUAAAGUGGCCGGCCCCUUUGUGUUGUUUUUGGGCUUUGGGCUUUUGUUAUUUCAAGUCAUCCAAUGCUUGAAUAAAAGCCCAAUGGGUUUAGGCCCAAUGGGCCUAAUUAAACCCGAACGU